UGUCCGAGCCAGCUUACACCCACCUUGACUGUUCCUAGGAACCAAUUCCACCGUCAACUAGCAGCCAUUAAGCUGUUAACAUACUGACCUUUUUCUCUAGAGUUCCUUUCGUGUAUAGCCAGAGCACAACCAUGACUAGGUUGAACUAAUCCUAGAUGAUAAAUGCAAACAAAUAGACCCUAUACACACCAAAUGUUUCAUUUCACAAAAAUCAGAAGAAAAGCCAAUCCGGGCUUCAUCAGUUCAUGGAUGUUAAUCAGGAUUCAGGACCACAUCACUAUGUAUAAAUUGAUAUGUAACAGGCGGUAUAUGUCACCAAGAAUGGUGGGUGGUACCUCUCCUGAUCUUCCUCCGGAACGGCCUGCAUGCCUCAAUGCUGAGGUCAACCGCGGCAGCAAGAGCCAUAAAGAUGGCGGCAUCCUCCACGCAUGUCACGUGUCGCAUCGCCAGCUGUACCAAUGGCUUGCUCUUCUUCCUUCCUUCACCUUGCACUCUACAGCUCAUCACAAAUCCGCCAACCACCGGACUCAAAGCCGCAAAGUCUCCGCUGCUCUGCGGGCUUGGCAGUGGGCUUGCUGCUUUGUGGGCACGUCGCUCCGUGUCUAUGUAAAACUCGCCACCCUUUUCAGCGUUGAGGAAGAUCUCCGACAUUAGAAGCUCCCCUCCCUCUGGCAAUUCAGAAAGGAGAUGAAAGCGGCAGCAAAUGGAGUCUCUGACGCCACGUUCGCGCCACGCCUCGAGCUUCCCCCAGGGCUGCCAGCUGUCAGGCCC